rnacentral:rRNA from 1 species
UACACGCUGUGACUAGCAUAUCAAUAAGCGGAGGAAAAGAAACUAACAAGGAUUCCCUCAGUAACGGCGAGUGAAGCGGGAAGAGCUCAAAUUUGAAAUCUUGAAAGGUCACCUUUCACGAAUUGUAGUUUAAAGAAGUGUUUUCUGUUACGAUCGUAAUAUAAGCUCUUUGGAAUAGGACAUCACAGAGGGUGAGAAUCCCGUCUAUGAUUGCGAUUUGUAGCUUUGUGAUACACUUUCAAAGAGUCGGGUUGUUUGGGAAUGCAGCCCAAAACGGGAGGUAAAUUUCUUCUAAGGCUAAAUAUUGGCGAGAGACCGAUAGCGAACAAGUACCGUGAGGGAAAGAUGAAAAGAACUUUGAAAAGAGAGUUAAAUAGUACGUGAAAUUGUCAAAAGGGAAGCGUUUAACACCAGUGUUGUUUUCUGAAAAUCAACCUCUGUUAGCUUUAUGCAUGUUUGUUUAGACCUAAUCAGCUAUCUUUCAUGUUCUAGUUGUUUGCAGUGGUGCACUUUUCAGUUUACAGGUCAACAUCAGUUUUUUUUACCGUAAAAAAGUUAAAGAAAGGUAGCUCAUGGCUCCGGUCGUGAGUGUUAUAGUCUUUUUCCUAUGCGGUAGGAGAGACUGAGGUCUGCAGUGUAGGCUAUUUGGCUAGAUACUCAGGUGCUAUGUGAUACCAUUUCAUAAACAACUUGUUGAUUAUGUUUUGUCUAUUGCAUACUCGCUUGUACUAUCAUACCUACGCUUAGGAUGUUGAGUAGCGACAUACGCAC